rnacentral:rRNA from 1 species
AGGCAUCUUCUGGUUUGGAAAGUUUUUCGGUCUGGGAUGGGCCCGCGGCCUAUCAGCUUGUUGGUGGGGUAAUGGCCUACCAAGGCGACGACGGGUAGCCGGCCUGAGAGGGCGACCGGCCACACUGGGACUGAGACACGGCCCAGACUCCUACGGGAGGCAGCAGUGGGGAAUAUUGCACAAUGGGCGAAAGCCUGAUGCAGCGACGCCGCGUGAGGGAUGACGGCCUUCGGGUUGUAAACCUCUUUCAGCAGGGACGAAGCGAAAGUGACGGUACCUGCAGAAGAAGCACCGGCCAACUACGUGCCAGCAGCCGCGGUAAUACGUAGGGUGCAAGCGUUGUCCGGAAUUAUUGGGCGUAAAGAGCUCGUAGGCGGUUAGUCACGUCGGCUGUGAAAACCUGGGGCUCAACCCCGGGCCUGCAGCCGAUACGGGCUGACUAGAAUUCGGUAGGGGAGACUGGAAUUCCUGGUGUAGCGGUGAAAUGCGCAGAUAUCAGGAGGAACACCGGUGGCGAAG